AUUACCAAUUAUCAAUCAAGUCAUCAAGUUAUGAUUACCAAUAAUUAACACCAAUACUUGGAACAACAGCUUGUCUGAUAAAACCACCCAAACAAACUGAUCUCAGAUCGCGAUCAACCCCAGUUCCUUUACAAAGAAGCCCUGAUCUCGAGCCAGACCUUCAGGGGUAACUUCCAGCCUCCCCUGCCAGCAGCGGAUACUGGCUGCAUUUACUUCCAUGGGAAACAUCUGGCACUGGUUUAAUCAUUGAAGUAUGCGAACCACUAGUUGACAUCAAGAGGAUCAGAGAUUGUUUCUGUUGGCAAGCCAUUGUUUGCUA